AACUUUGAUUGUUCAUCAUAUUUUGUCACACACACCUUGUUAGACUCCAAUUUUAUACUUAAAAGAAGUUCAGUGUCCAGAGAAAGAGCAGUUGGUUGUUAUUAGUUUUAGCCUGCAGAUUAGUAAGCAUAUUGUAGCUGAGAAAAAUUAUAACUAGAAAAUGUUGUCUUUGUAUUUCUGCUCAAAAGAUAGUAUAUGGCACACCAGUUGCCAACUACAUCAUCUGCAGAUUUCGUGCAUGGUGAUGCUUAACUGGCAUCCUUCAGAGCUCCUUCGGGUUGAUUCAAGUUAAUGACUGAACACACUUGUAUUCUAGAGACAUUAAAAGUAACAGUAGUAUUUGUCUAGAUGUCCCGAAGGAGCUGCGCAGUUCUCCAUCGACCAUUCCAAACCGUUGAUUAUCUGUUUAUACGGUCCAUGGUACCACCAACUGCCAGCAACGUACAUCUACUGCAGAUUUUGGAGAUUGAUUUAUGGUGAUGUUUCACUUCUUCCAGAGCUUCAGUUCUUGCUUAGCAGAAUAAUUACAGCUGACAGUGAAUUUGGACGUUGGCAUUCAGAACUGGGUUGUUGCAUCCAAAC